AUUGAACGCUGGCGGCAUGCUUUACACGUGCGAGUCGAACGGCAGCGCGGGCUUCGGCCUGGCGGCGAGUGGCGAACGGGUGAGUAAUACAUCGGAACGUGCCCAGUAGUGGGGGAUAGCUCGGCGAAAGCCGGAUUAAUACCGCAUACGACCUGAGGGUGAAAGCGGGGGAUCUUCGGACCUCGCGCUAUUGGAGCGGCCGAUGGCAGAUUAGCUAGUUGGUGGGGUAAAGGCCUACCAAGGCGACGAUCUGUAGCUGGUCUGAGAGGACGACCAGCCACACUGGGACUGAGACACGGCCCAGACUCCUACGGGAGGCAGCAGUGGGGAAUUUUGGACAAUGGGCGAAAGCCUGAUCCAGCAAUGCCGCGUGUGUGAUGAAGGCCUUCGGGUUGUAAAGCACUUUUGGCGGGAACGAAAAGGACUGUGCCAAUACCACGGUUCGAUGACGGUACCCGCAGAAUAAGCACCGGCUAACUACGUG
rnacentral:rRNA from 1 species